rnacentral:tRNA from 1 species
GGCCUCGUAGCUCAGCUGGUAGAGUGUGCACUGUACAAAAGCUUUGGUGGCGUCCACGCGUGGGUUUGAAUCCCACCGAGGUUG